ACGCCGCGUGAGUGAAGAAGGGUUUCGGCUCGUAAAACUCUGUUGUUAAAGAAGAACUAUCUGAAAAUUAACUGUUCGGUAUUGACGGUAUUUAACCAGAAAGCCACGGCUAACUACGUGCCCCACAGCCGCGGUAAUACGUAGGUGGCAAGCGUUGUCCGGAUUUUAUUGGGCGUAAAGCGAGCGCAGGCGGUUUUUUAAGUCUGAUGUGAACCCCUCCGGCUCAACCGAAGAGUGCAUCGGAAACUGGGGAACUGAAGUGCAAAGAGGACGGUGGAACUCCAUGUGUAGCGGUGAAAUGCGUAGAUAUAUGGAAGAACACCAGUGGCGAAGGCGGCUGUCUGGUCUGUAACUGACGCUGAGGCUUGAAAGUAUGGGUAGCAAACAGGAUUAGAUACCCUGGUAGUCCAUACCGUAAACGAUGAAUGCUAAGUGUUGGAGGGUUUCCGCCCUUCAGUGCUGCAGCUAACGCAUUAAGCAUUCCGCCUGGGGAGUACGGCCGCAAGGCUGAAACUCAAAGGAAUUGACGGGGGCCCGCACAGCGGUGGAGCUGUGGUUUAAUUCAAGCUACG
rnacentral:rRNA from 1 species